rnacentral:rRNA from 1 species
AGGGGAGCAUGGGAGUAGCGAUACUUCUGAUGGCGACCGGCGCACGGGUGCGUAACGCGUAUGCAACCUACCUGUAACAGGGGGAUAACACUGAGAAAUCGGUACUAAUACCGCAUAACACUAUGAGAGGCAUCUCUUGUGGUUGAAAGUUUCGGCGGUUACAGAUGGGCAUGCGUUGUAUUAGCUGGUUGGUAAGGUAACGGCUUACCAAGGCGACGAUACAUAGGGGGACUGAGAGGUUAACCCCCCACAUUGGUACUGAGACACGGACCAAACUCCUACGGGAGGCAGCAGUGAGGAAUAUUGGUCAAUGGACGGAAGUCUGAACCAGCCAUGCCGCGUGCAGGAAGACGGCUCUAUGAGUUGUAAACUGCUUUUGUACAAGGGUAAACCUGAAUACGUGUAUUCAGCUGAAAGUACUGUACGAAUAAGGAUCGGCUAACUCCGUGCCAGCAGCCGCGGUAAUACGGAGGAUCCAAGCGUUAUCCGGAUUUAUUGGGUUUAAAGGGUGCGUAGGCGGAUUGAUAAGUUAGAGGUGAAAUGUCCGAGCUUAACUCGGGAACUGCCUCUAAUACUGUUGAUCUAGAGAGUAGAUGCGGUAGGCGGAAUGUAUGGUGUAGCGGUGAAAUGCUUAGAGAUCAUACAGAACACCGAUUGCGAAGGCAGCUUACCAAUCUAUAUCUGACGUUGAGGCACGAAAGCGUGGGGAGCAAACAGGAUUAGAUACCCUGGUAGUCCACGCAGUAAACGAUGAUAGCUCGUUGUCGGCGAUACACAGUCGGUG